rnacentral:rRNA from 1 species
CAGCAGCCACGGUAAUACGGAGGGGGCUAGCGUUGUUCGGAAUUACUGGGCGUAAAGCGCACGUAGGCUGCUUUGUAAGUCUGAUGUGAAAGCCCCCGGCUCAACCGGGGAGGGUCAUUGGAAACUGGGAAACUUGAGUGCAGGAGAGGAGAGUGGAAUUCCACGUGUAGCGGUGAAAUGCGUAGAGAUGUGGAGGAACACCAGUGGCGAAGGCGACUCUCUGGUCUGUAACUGACGCUGAGGAGCGAAAGCGUGGGGAGCGAACAGGAUUAGAUACCCCUGUAGUCCCUGUCUCUUAUAC